rnacentral:rRNA from 1 species
AUUGAACGCUGGCGGCAGGCCUAACACAUGCAAGUCGAACGGUAACAGGAAGCAGCUCGCUGCUUCGCUGACGAGUGGCGGACGGGUGAGUAAUGUCUGGGAAACUGCCUGAUGGAGGGGGAUAACUACUGGAAACGGUAGCUAAUACCGCAUAAUGUCGCAAGACCAAAGAGGGGGACCUUCGGGCCUCUUGCCAUCGGAUGUGCCCAGAUGGGAUUAGCUUGUUGGUGGGGUAACGGCUCACCAAGGCGACGAUCCCUAGCUGGUCUGAGAGGAUGACCAGCCACACUGGAACUGAGACACGGUCCAGACUCCUACGGGAGGCAGCAGUGGGGAAUAUUGCACAAUGGGCGCGAGCCUGAUGCAGCCAUGCCGCGUGUAUGAAGAAGGCCUUCGGGUUGUAAAGUACUUUCAGCGGGGAGGAAGGGAGUAAAGUUAAUACCUUUGCUCAUUGACGUUACCCGCAGAAGAAGCACCGGCUAACUCCGUGCCAGCAGCCGCGGUAAGAC